rnacentral:rRNA from 1 species
CAGGAGGGACCACCCUCCAAGGCUCAAUACGACCUAGUGACCGACAGCGUAUAGUCCCGUGAGGGAAAGGUGGAAAGAACCACGGGAGGGGAGUGAAAUAGAACCUGAAACCCUGCACUUACAAGCUGUGGAAGCACAUUUCUUGUGUGACCACGUACUUUUUGUAGAACGGGCCAACGAGUUACGUUAAGUAGCAAGGUUAAGCACUUAAGGUGCGGAGCCGUAGCGAAAGCGAGUUUUAACUGAGCGUUCAGUUACUUGACGUAGACCCGAAACCGGGCGACCUACCCAUGAGCAGGAUGAAGCGAAAGUAAAAUUUCGUGGAGGUCCGAACCCACGAGCGUUGAAAAGCUCGGGGAUGACUUGUGGGUAGCGGUGAAAUUCC